rnacentral:rRNA from 1 species
GUCCCACCUGACCCCAUGCCGAACUCAGCAGUGAAACGCCGUAGCGCCGAUGGUAGUGUGGGGUCUCCCCAUGUGAGAGUAGGGAACUGCCA